GAUCACUGCACUAAUAUGGG
rnacentral:siRNA from 1 species